rnacentral:rRNA from 1 species
UACGGAGGGUGCGAGCGUUGUCCGGAAUCACUGGGCGUAAAGGGCGCGUAGGUGGCGCGGGCAGUCAACGGUGAAAGUUCGGGGCUCAACCCUGAAUAGGCCGUCGAUACUCCCGGGCUGGAGCACUGUAGAGGCUAAUGGAAUUCCGGGUGUAGCGGUGGAAUGCGUAGAGAUCCGGAAGAACACCGGUGGCGAAGGCGGUUAGCUGGGCAGUUGCUGACACUGAGGCGCGACAGCGUGGGGAGCAAACAGG